CCUACGGGUGGCAGCAGUGAGGAAUAUUGGUCAAUGGGCGGGAGCCUGAACCAGCCAAGCCGCGUGAAGGAAGAAGGCGCCAAGCUUCGUAAACUUCUUUUGUCGGGGAACAAAGGGCGCCACGUGUGGCGUUGUGAGUGUACGCGAAGAAAAAGCAUCGGCUAACUCCGUGCCAUCAGCCGCGGUACUACGGAGGAUGUGAUCGUUAUCCGGAUUUGUUGGGUUUAAGGGGUGCGUAGGCGGUCCGGAAAGUCAGCGGUAAAAGCCCGGGGCUAAACCGCGGCGAGCCGUUGAAACUGUCGGACUAGAGACGGCGAGAGGGACGCAGAAUGCGCGGUGUAGCGGUGAAAUGCAUAGAGAUCGCGCAGAAAUCCGAUUGCGAAGGCAGCACCCCGGUGGACAACUGACGCUCAGGCACGAAAGCGUGGGUAGCGAACAGGAUUAGAUACCCCAGUAGUC
rnacentral:rRNA from 1 species